rnacentral:rRNA from 1 species
CCUACGGGGGGCAGCAGUGAGGAAUAUUGGUCAAUGGACGAGAGUCUGAACCAGCCAAGUAGCGUGAAGGAUGACUGCCCUAUGGGUUGUAAACUUCUUUUAUAUGGGAAUAAAAUGUUCCACGUGUGGGUUUUUGUAUGUACCAUAUGAAUAAGGACCGGCUAAUUCCGUGCCAGCAGCCGCGGUAAUACGGAGGAUCCGAGCGUUAUCCGGAUUUAUUGGGUUUAAAGGGAGCGUAGGUGGAUUGUUAAGUCAGUUGUGAAAGUUUGCGGCUCAACCGUAAAAUUGCAGUUGAAACUGGCAGUCUUGAGUGCAGUAGAGGUGGGCGGAAUUCGUGGUGUAGCGGUGAAAUGCUUAGAUAUCACGAAGAACUCCGAUUGCGAAGGCAGCUCACUGGACUGCAACUGACACUGAGGCUCGAAAGUGUGGGUAUCAAACAGGAUUAGAUACCCCAGUAGUC